rnacentral:piRNA from 1 species
UGAGCCAAUCCUGAGCAAACUGCGGGG